ACAUAGCUCAGUGAUAAAACUUCUGCUUUGCAUGCAAAAGGUCCCUGGUUUGAUCCCUGGUAUCUCUA